GAUGAACGCUGGCGGCGUGCCUAAUACAUGCAAGUCGAGCGAACAGACGAGGAGCUUGCUCCUCUGACGUUAGCGGCGGACGGGUGAGUAACACGUGGAUAACCUACCUAUAAGACUGGGAUAACUUCGGGAAACCGGAGCUAAUACCGGAUAAUAUAUUGAACCGCAUGGUUCAAUAGUGAAAGACGGUUUUGCUGUCACUUAUAGAUGGAUCCGCGCCGCAUUAGCUAGUUGGUAAGGUAACGGCUUACCAAGGCGACGAUGCGUAGCCGACCUGGGAGGGUGAUCGGCCACACUGGAACUGAGACACGGUCCAGACUCCUACGGAAGGCAGCGGUGGGGAAUCUUCCGCAAUGGGCGAAAGCCUGACGGAGCAACGCGGCGUGAGUGAUGAAGGUCUUCGGAUCGUAAAACUCUGUUAUUAGGGAAGAACAAAUGUGUAAGUAACUAUGCACGUCUUGACGGUACCUAAUCAGAAGGCCACGGCUAACUACGU
rnacentral:rRNA from 1 species